rnacentral:lncRNA from 1 species
UUUGUUAGUGUUCAAAUCUAUUUGUCUUAAUGUCUCGUGAAUUUCUAAUCUACAUUUAGGUAAUUUUGGAAACUGCUUUCGCCUGUCUCUGUAUAAGGACAUAGCAACAUUUUUCAAGUCAAUAUAUAUUCAAAUAUUUAUAAUUUACCAGGUAAAUUUCCGGAAAAGUAAUAAAUACAAAUUGCGGAAACGUAUACUUUAAAUUUGCGGAAACGUAGCAUUGGGACUUUGAAAAAUUAGCGGAAAUGCAAUACGCCCGUCACAGUCUGUACUGUAAUUAUGACCUCUUGAGAGGAGGUCUCAUUGGGGGCCUGAUCUUGAAUCCCGCUUGCUGUUUAGUGAGAAUCCUGUAUCAUGCUUCUUGUAGCCAUAAUAGCACAUGUAAGUUCCUGUGUUUCGCCAGACUUUGUUUCCUGCCUUCAAGAUUAUGUUUUUUGCUUUCACGUGUCACCCUUCAAAAAAAUCGUCCAAUCCGUGUCACACUUAGACCCCAAUUAGAUCCACUUGAGAGGCUAUUAUAAUAUUACGUCUUUUCGUGAUUCAGGAAAGGAUACAUUAUUUUCACACCAAUUUCUGAUUUGGCAUAUUCAUUUUGGCCAGGAUUUGUGAUGAGAUCUUCUAGGUACUGGGCUUAAUGUUUAUGGGAUUUCAGGAUUGGAUCUUUUACUAGUGUGGGAAUCAGGAACUUACACUCAUCAGAACUCUGAAGUUAAUGAUAAUGUUUUUCGAUCUUGGAAAGAAUAUGUUCUGCUUUGACAUUUUUGUUUGCCAUUCACUGACACCCCGCCCCUAAUAUCAGAGACCAGACUGAAUUUAUUUUAUUGCUCUCUUCAAGGACGUAUAAUGUAUUAUAAGUCCUUGCUCUCUUGAAAAAAAAAUUUUCCGUUUAGGUUUCCAUUUUUACUGACAAAAUUUAUGGACAUCCAAUGUUUCCAUUCUGAAUUAAACAAUUUCGAUAAAAAGAGAAUUUGUUUCUUUAAGGCCACACCAAUUUGAUUCCUUGUUCGACGGACCCGCUCGCACCUAUUUUUUUUCAAAACAGAAUUUUUUUAUUUUUUUUAUAUUCCCGCUUCCUGCAUCCGGAAAUGUAAUCAUGUCCAUUUCCCGC